rnacentral:rRNA from 1 species
UGUUACGGCCAUAUCACCCUGAAUGCGCCCGAUCUCGUCCGAUCUUGGAAGCUAAACAGGGUCGGGCCUGGUUAGUACUUGGAUGGGGAAAGAUUGCAACUUCAUGACACAAGGGUACUCAAGCUGUCCAAUCU